AAGUUGAGGCUACGUGGAGGUCCCACAGAGACCCAGAGAAGAACGCUGAGGAUUCCGAGGCUGGUGAGCAAACAGGCCUUGCUACCCACGAGCCCACGGAACUCCUGCUUCUCGCUGACCCUGAAAUCUGAAGAAAAUGAAGACCUUAAACAUCACAUCUUGCAAUCUGGAGAUUCCAUCUAUUGAAAAAGACACCUCUAGAAGAGCUCCCUUCAGUCUCGCUGGAAAGGCCCCUAUCAGGGUGUUGCUCUCUGAAGGCUGGAUGACUGAAUGGAUUUUGGAGCAGGAAGAAAGCACGGGACAAAUUG